ACUCAACAGCACCUGCCCAGAAUACAAGUGCUGACCAGUGGGCCUCAUCUGUAUCAAAUAUACCAGGGCACUUCAAAAGACAUUUUCCAUACACAUUUGAGAUAGUUGAAAAGUUGCUGACAGUUGUAAAUUUUUUCCUACUUCGUCUUCUUCGGCAGAUGUGAUGUAUAUGUUUAUAUUCUGCCUCAAAACAAUUAAAAUGUGUCUUAGCAUUCAAAUGCAGAUUAGACGGAGUGGCAGAAACCAUACAAAUCUGAUCUAUUCUUGAAACAGGAUCUGAUAAGAUGCUGGGGAGUCAGUCCUCUGUGGUGGAUCAAUGACCUUCAGCAUGGAGGAAAUGUUUGAGCACUUAAGAGAUGAAACACGAGGCAGUGACUGAGAUGAGUGGCUUUGGGUCCAGGCAUUCUGCUGAAGUAAGUGGCCAGACAGAUGCAAAAUGAAAGUGAAAAUUCAAGGACUUUUUCUUCAUUCUACAAAUGGUUGUUGGCAUCCACUAGAGAACACCACAAAAGCCAUUCUCUGAGAAGAAUGAGUUAUAGCAUGGGUUUUUCAGUACUAUGGUAGACUUCAGUUACUGGUAAGCUUCAUCUUGCUGGAAAUGGAAGCUCCUUGAGGGUCUUAUGUUUGCCUGGAGCCUGAGGCAUUUGGGAUUAUUGAAUGUAAUCUAUAACUGACACGGUUUUAAAAAUAUACUGUCUCUUUGCCUAAAGCAAGACCAUAGGCUUUCAGUUUCCUAGGUGUAUGUGUGCUUAGACCAAAGGUAUGAUCCACUGAUAAGUCAUCAGGUGACUCAGGAUACUUAUACCAUGAACAGGAGCUAGGGACUCAAUCAGAAAGAUUUGGUGUGAGCCCGAUUUUACCAGCUUUCUGACUUAGACACUCACGUUAUUUCUCAAAGGCUCCAUUUUCCUUUCCCUUUGUAUCUUCUGUCUGCCCUUUCUGUCUUAUAGCAUUAUGGAAGGUAAUUUAUAUGGAAUUUCUUGUAAACACUGUGAGUCAGAAUAUAUGAACUGUACAUAAAUAAAUCAUUUAUUC
rnacentral:lncRNA from 1 species